rnacentral:tRNA from 1 species
GGUCGGUUGGCCGAGAGGCUAGGCAGAGCUCUGCAAAAGCUCGUACGGCGGUUCGAAUCCGCCAUCGACCUCCA